rnacentral:lncRNA from 1 species
GCUCUCACCAUGAACCCACAAAUUACACAUAAAAUCCUCCAUGGAUGAACAUUUCAACACAGCUUGAUGUGCCAUUAACACCAAAAAAAGAAAAAAAAUUAAAGAAGGCAACACACACUCACAUACGCUCCACCCACCAUCACUCUCACAUCCCACCCAUCCACCAAGGAUGCACACAUAGAGAGCUAGACAGAAAACACACACACUAUACGAAGAGAUUCGAGAAUGCUACAGAAAAACUGUGAGAGAAAGAAGUAGAAAAAAAC